AACUAUGAUAAAAUGUUUAGUCAACUAAAUGAACAGUAUGAAGUGCAAACCUCCAUCAAGCUCUGAACCUCCUCUUCACAGAUAUGAUCAGUUAUCAAUGAUCAAUGAUCCUGAUCAUGGUACCAUGAUCAUUAACACUUUAAAGGCUUGGAACCACAUUUAUAUCUCAUUAAUAAACAUCCAGUAGGUCACAAUGUAUGGACACACUUUAAAAAAAAAGAAAAUAAAUCAAUGAAAUGCGUAAUCUGGAUCUGAUCAGGAUGAAACUCAGUGGGAUCAUUGAUUAACCACCCAAUAUAACUGAGUCACAUUUUAUACAGAUCCAUCAAUUACAAACCCAGAUAUGAAUUAUUAUGAUGAUGAGAGAUAGACAUUUUUUAUCUUUGAAACUGAUCAGAAUCAGUUCAUUGAUCAGGAGUCCCUCUGGCAGCAGAAAUCUUUCCUCCUUGGUGGAGGUAAUAAAGCAGAUGAAGUGUACGGCAGAGGUUUGAAACUUGUCAAUAAUGUGAUGAUUAUUAUUAUUAUUAAUAAAUUAAUGUCUUUCUCCCACAGACUGAGUUUCUGUGGUCUCUCAGAGAGAAGCUGUGCAGCUCUGUCCUCAGUCCUCAGCUCUCAGUCCUCCAGUGUGAAACAUCUGGACCUGAGUAACAAUUAUCUGCAGGAUUCAGGAGUGAAGUUGCUGUGUGAAGGACUGAAGAGUCCUCACUGUAAACUGGACUCUCUCAGUAGCGUCGAUGAUUUCCCCUUCCUUUGUGACAAUAACGACUGUUACUGGGCUCCGGUCCAGAAGAUCAUCAAACGGAUUCCACAUUUUUUCAGGGAUUGUGAUUUCAGUUUCAUCCUUGAGCGUUAAAAUUGACAUUCCGUCCGUCUUGCUGCUACGAGAGGCAAUGACAAUCACCUCCGACUUGGACACUUCUUCUCCCUUAAGAAAAGAAGACAAUCACACCGUUGUAGUACAGUCAGAACAAAAAUCCAAAGCAACACAAAACAUUUGCAGUUUACAGUUAUUAAGGGACUUGCUUAACAUCCCACAGUGAUGGCCUGGGUUGGAUUUGAUGAUUGCCAUCCCACUUCCUUAAUCCUUACAUCAUCACUCUCCUAUUGUGAAACACACAUCAGUCUAAAACCAACUCAUCUUGGACCAUUGUAGU
rnacentral:lncRNA from 1 species